GUGAGCGGGAGGCCAGGGCAUGGCAGGGGGAGCUGCAGGGCCGUCGAAGGGGCUCCAGCAUCAGAGCCGUGUCCUCCCACAG
rnacentral:pre_miRNA from 1 species